rnacentral:sRNA from 1 species
AUGGCUGUCGUCAGCUCGUGUCGUGAGAUGUUGGGUUAAGUCCCGCAACGAGCGCAACCCCCGUCGUAUGUUGCCAGCAUUUAGUUGGGGACUCAUGCGAGACUGCCGGUGACAAACCGGAGGAAGGUGGGGAUGACGUCAAGUCAUCAUGCCCCUUAUGUCCAGGGCUACACACGUGCUACAUUGGCGCGUACAGAGGGCUGCGAUACCGCGAGGUGGAGCGAAUCCCUUAAAGCGCGUCUCGGUUCGGAUUGCAGGCUGAAACUCGCCUGCAUGAAGGCGGAGUUGCUAGUAAUCGCGGAUCAGCACUGCCGCGGUGAAUACGUUCCCGGGCCUUGUACACACCGCCCGUCACACCAUGGGAGUGAGCAACACCCGAAGCCGGUGGCCUAACCCGCAAGGGAGGGAGCCGUCGAAGGUGGGGCUCGUGACUGGGGUGAAGUCGUAACAAGGUAGCCGUAGCGGAAGCUGCGGCUGGAUCACCUCCUUUCUAGGGAGCCCUCUACGGAGGGCGACCGAUCGCCGGCCAUGAGCAAGAGCUCGUGGCUUACUGCUCACCGGAGUCCGUUUCGGGCCCCGGCAUCACACAACCAGUAGCGAUCGGGACUAGAUAUGUCGACCGGACCUGGAAACGCCGUCUGCUGAGCCCAGCGCUCUGUCCCAGGCGGCUGCAUGCUGUUGAGUUUUGAGAGACCGGCUCGAUGCCGGUGGCUCGAGGACAAGUUCCCGGGCCGCUGAGCAAAGAGUUGUUGCCUCUUAGCGGACCUUGAAAACUGCACAGUUAGCCAAUGUAAACGGGUAUCGGGUGAGCGUUUAUCGCGCUCACCUGAGGAAAUUCAAUUUCUUCGAAAUGAUCACCGUCAAGAUAGUAAGGGCACAUGGUGGAUGCCUUGGCACCAAGAGUCGAUGAAGGGCGUGAACGGCUGCGAUAAGCCGCGGUGAGGCGCUGAAUAGCCAGUGACCCGCGGAUGCCCGAAUGGGGAAACCCGG